GUGGGGAAUAUUGCACAAUGGGCGAAAGCCUGAUGCAGCAACGCCGCGUGAAGGAAGAAGGCCCUUGGGUCGUAAACUUCUGUUCUAAGGGAAGAUAAUGACGGUACCUUAGGAGCAAGUCCCGGCUAACUACGUGCCAGCAGCCGCGGUAAUACGUAGGGGGCGAGCGUUAUCCGGAAUUAUUGGGCGUAAAGAGUACGUAGGUGGUUAUCUAAGCGAGGGGUUUAAGGCAAUAGCUCAAAUAUUGUUUGCCCCGCGAACUGGGUGACUUGAGUGCUGGAGAGGAAAGCGGAAUUCCUAGUGUAGCGGUGAAAUGCGUAGAUAUUAGUAGGAACAUCAGUGGCGAAGGCGGCUUUCUGGACAGUAACUGACACUGAGGUACGAAAGUGUGGGGAGCAAACAGGAUUAGAAACCCGGGUAGUCC
rnacentral:rRNA from 1 species